rnacentral:rRNA from 1 species
UUCAACCUCACCCUUCCUUGCUUUUCCCGCCUAUAUACCACCGUCGUCAGCUUACCCUGUGAAGGCCUAAUAGUAAGCAGAAUUGGCAUAGCCCAAAACGUCAGGUCGAGGUGUAGUGCAUGAGAGGGGAAGAAAUGGGCUACAUUCGCUAGUAGUAGCGAAUACGAAUGUUGCAUUGAAAUAUGCGACUGAAGGAGGAUUUAGCAGUAAGCAGAAAGCAGAGCGUCCCGCUGAAACUGGCCCUAAAGCGCGCACACACCGCCCGUCACCCUCCCCGAGCCCUAAACUCACUUAACUAAAACCCUAUAAUUGCGAAGGGGAGGAAAGUCGUAACAUGGUAAGUGUACCGGAAGGUGCGCUUGGAAAAAU